UGUUGUCUGUGCAGAAGGAAGGGUCAGGUGGCUGUGUGAGGGACAGUAAGGGUUAGGCAGUUGUGCAAAGGACAGGAAAGAGUCAACUGAAGAAACAGAAAAGGAGUCAGUGUUGCGAGAAGCUGCCUGUGGGAACUCACAGAGAGAAGAAGAGAAGAAACAGACCUGGAGUUCAAGAAUUCAAGGAAACAUGUUUGUGUCUGUUUAUAAAAAUUCAGUCUCUCUGCCUGACGUUAAAUGAAAAAGGCAACAGGCAGUGCCCGUACCAUAAAUCCAUGAAGUGUCAUGGCUGGGGUGCAGGUGUGUCCCCAUCAUGGCCAAGGAAUGACUUUGGCACAGGCAGCUGACCUGGGGAGCAAAAAUGAAAAUGUAGCAUGAGAGGCUUCAGCACAUGCUAACAACCAAGGAAUGCGAAAAAGAGCACGUUGGAUUUACUUCAUACUGUUGUUUCUAUAGCAAUGGAAGAGGGCUUCUCACUUGCUCCUCAGUGCAGCUGAAGCAUCCCCACUGGUGCUGAUGGCAUGUGAGGAGCUCACCAUGAGCUCAGUGCCUUUGGGUGAGGUUCUGGAUCCUGAAUUUGCAUUGCUGCAGCACUCACUCAAGCUCCUCCAGCUCUCAGGCACUGUCUGCCUCCCCUCCUCUCCCUCCCUGCUUG